rnacentral:misc_RNA from 1 species
GAUGAAGAACGUAGCGAAAUGCGAUAAGUAAUGUGAAUUGCAGAAUUCAGUGAAUCAUCGAAUCUUUGAACGCACAUUGCGCCCCCCAGUAUUCUGGCGGGCAUGCCUGUUCGAGCGUCAUUUCGACCAUCAAGCCCUGCUUGUGUUGGGGUCCUGCGGCUGCCCGCAGGCCCUGAAAACCAGUGGCGGGCUCGCUAGUCACACCGAGCGCAGUAGCACAUCUCGCUCAGGGCGUGCGGCGGGCUCCAGCCGUUAAAGCACCCACCUUUCGCAAGGUUGACCUCGGAUCAGGUAGGAAUACCCGCUGAACUUAAGCAUAUCAAUAAGCGGAGGA